CUAGCAAGUCCAACCUUACAAAAAGAAUUUAGCAAGUCCCCCCGAAACCAGGCGAGCUACCUCGAGGCAAUGUUUCCCCCGGUCUCUGUAGCAAAAGAGUCGGGAGACCUCAUGGUAGAGGUGAAAAACCAAACGAGCCUGGAUAUAGCUGGUUGCUUGAAAAAGAAUUUAAGUUCACACGAAAGCCUUCUUACCUUUUAGGAAAAUUUAGCCUUUUAUACUAAUUAAUUGAGUUACAGCCCAAUUAACCAGGGAAACAACCCACACAAUGAAUAAUGAUUUUCAAGAAAUUGAACCAAGUAGGCCCAAAAGCAGCCACCAAACAAUAGCGUCAAAGCUUAACUCAAAAUCCAUCAACUAUCCCAUUAAACCAUCCUAAUUCAACAAAGUAAUCAAGCUAAUCUAUCUUUAGAUGAACUACUACUAGAAUUAGUAAUAAGAACCUAUUCUCUACAAUACAAGCGUACAUCAGACUGAACCAAUCACUGAUAAUUAAUGAAACUAUUUACUAAACAAGCAUUUAAUAAUUUUUAAACAUUAACCCAACACAGGAGUAUUUAAGAAAGAUUUUAAGCCUAGAAAGGAACUCGGCAAACUUAGGCUC
rnacentral:rRNA from 1 species